rnacentral:lncRNA from 1 species
CCAGUGUGUGUCGCCAGCCGGGCAGAGCUGGGCUCAGUCCUGAGCGCUCUGCCCUCUGCACGCCUCUACCCGCGCGGCUCCCCGGACAACUCCCAGGUAGGCUCUGGCGCAUCCGUAACCUCUCUCCUGUGGCCUCCUGGCCCGUGCUCUGCGUUGGCUGAGCUUGGAGCCCGGAGCAAGGACAGGGGACAGGCAGCACAGGGACAGACUUGGCUGUGCGUUGCCGCCUCCCUACAGCCCUGCGGGGACACAGAAAAGAAUCAGAAUGAAAGAAGAGGAGGCAGAAGGACCCCAGGACUUGCAAGACGCAGAGCAUCUAGGGGUCUCGCUGUGUAAUCCAGGCUGCCUUGGAACUCCCGACAAUCCUCCUUCCUCAGCUUGCUCAGUGCUGAGCUUACAGCUCCUGUAUCCCAUUUAAGACAAGAAAGCCACAUUCAUGGACUCUGAACAAUGCACGCUGGCCAGGAUUCUGCCAGUUGAACCCAGGAAUUCAGUUUACAGAAAUGACCUCUUGGCUAUGAUGGAGGACAAAUCGCUAAUAAAGUAUUUUCAUUCAAAACUCUUAGCCUUUCUGCUGU